UAUGGGGGGGGUAAGCGUUGUUCGGAAUUACUGGGCGUAAAGGGCUCGUAGGCGGCCAACUAAGUCAGACGUGAAAUCCCUCGGCUUAACCGGGGAACUGCAUCUGAUACUGGAUGGCUUGAGUUCGGGAGAGGGAUGCGGAAUUCCAGGUGUAGCGGUGAAAUGCGUAGAUAUCUGGAGGAACACCGGUGGCGAAGGCGGCAUCCUGGACCGACACUGACGCUGAGGAGCGAAAGCCAGGGGAGCAAACGGG
rnacentral:rRNA from 1 species